AGAGUUUGAUCCUGGCUCAGAUUGAACGCUGGCGGCGUGCUUAACACAUGCAAGUCGAUCGGUAACAGGUGUAGCAAUACAUGCUGACGAGAGGCGGACGGGUGAGGAACGCUUGGGAAUCUGCCUAUCAGCGGGGGACAACCCGGGGAAACUCGGGCUAAUACCGCAUACGCUCUACGGAGGAAAGCCGGGGACCGCAAGGCCCGGCACUGAUAGAUGAGCCCAAGUCGGAUUAGCUAGUUGGCGGGGUAACGGCCCACCAAGGCGACGAUCCGUAGCUGGUCUGAGAGGACGAUCAGCCACACCGGAACUGAGACACGGUCCGGACUCCUACGGGAGGCAGCAGUGGGGAAUAUUGGACAAUGGGGGAAACCCUGAUCCAGCGACGCCGCGUGGGUGAAGAAGGCCUGCGGGUUGUAAAGCCCUUUCGGUAGGGAAGAAAUCUCUUGCUCUAACACGGCAGGAGUUUGACUUAACCUACAUAAGAAGCACCGGCUAACUCUGUGCCAGCAGCCGCGGUAAUACAGAGGGUGCGAGCGUUAAUCGGAAUUACUGGGCGUAAAGCGCACGUAGUCGGCUUGCCAAGUCGGGUGUGAAAUCCCCGGGCUCAACCUGGGAACUGCAUCCGAAACUGGCUUGCUAGAGUAUGGGAGAGGGAGGCGGAAUUUCUGGUGUAGCAGUGAAAUGCGUAGAUAUCAGAAGGAACAUCAGUGGCGAAGGCGGCCUCCUGGACUAAUACUGACGAUCAGGUGCGAAAGCGUGGGGAGCAAACAGGAUUAGAUACUCUGGUAGUCCACGCUCUAAACGAUGACAACUGGAUGUCGGGAGGGUUUGCCUUCCGGUGUCGUAGCUAACGCGUUAAGUUGUCCGCCUGGGAAGUACGGGCGCAAGGUUGAACUCAAAGGAAUUG
rnacentral:rRNA from 1 species